rnacentral:rRNA from 1 species
UACGGGGGGGGCAAGCGUUGUUCGGAAUUACUGGGCGUAAAGGGUUCGUAGGUGGCCCGCUAAGUCACACGUGAAAUCCCUCAGCUUAACUGGGGAACUGCGUGUGAGACUGGCAGGCUUGAGUGCAGGAGAGGAACGCGGAAUUCCAGGUGUAGCGGUGAAAUGCGUAGAUAUCUGGAGGAACACCGGUGGCGAAGGCGGCGUUCUGGACUGCAUCUGACACUGCAGAACGAAAGCCAGGGGAGCAAACGGG